UAUUCAUCGUUGACUUCUUCGGCACUGCCAUCGAGGUCACUGUCACCUUCUCAGCCUCCGUCGCUCGGAAAUGGCUCCACACCACUCUCUUCCUCCGCCGAAGGUAUAUGGGCCGUCUUGUCGUCGGCGUCGGUGUCCAAUGGACUCCUUGGAACGGAAACGAUCCUCCAGCUGAUACUCUCCAGCUCUGCGUGGGAACUCGCUGCUUGAUCUUCCAACUCUCUCUAGCUGAUACCGUUCCACGCAUUCUUCGCCGCUUUCUCUUAAAUCCGAACAUCAC
rnacentral:misc_RNA from 1 species